CCCUUUCAAUUAACUUUAGACAUUCAAUUACAGAGGAAUUCAUGAGUUUACUGGAAGAGGGUCCCCGGGAGUCCCAGCGGGAGAGACUGCGGCAGAUAGCAGCCAUAAUAAUUCAGAAGACCUGGAGAAGAUUUUUGUGCAGAGAGGUCUUCAAGUAUUUCAAAGAGCUCGUCAGCCAUUGCAACCAGCGGGAUCCCAAAACGAUCCUCAAAUCUGUCAAUCCUCGAGAGGCAGAGUUACUGGAUGCUGCUGCUGGUGUGUUCAUCAGAUUUCGACUUGGAGGGAUUACCUUUCCUCCCAACAUCUAUUACAAGAUAUUCACCCAUCGACCCAUCACAGACGUGUGUGCCAGCAGCCCAAAGGACUACACCCAGCUCGACCUUAAGAAAGCUGUGGCCCGACAGACCAACAAUAGCUGGCCUCUUGUGCAGGAGGACCGAUCAGGAUGGUACCAGCGCCUGGAGAACAACAGCUGGAGGCUCUUCUGUAGCAAGGUGGUUUCCAUGGGUGAGCCUACAGAGAUCAGUGCUAACAAGAAAUUGGACUUUCACUAUUCCAGGUUGCAGCGGCAACAGGAUGUAGACAUGUGGCGGAAGAAGAGGAAAAUUGAAUGGCUGAAGCAGAUGUUUAACCAGGGUCGUCUGCAGACUCAUCCAGUGCACCAUCACAUGGCGACGACGCUGGUGGAGAUCUCAGCCCAACAGGUGAUGGACACCAUUGAAGAGAAGGGAAAUGAUGAGAUACUGGAGUGGGAGCUGGAUGAGCUCCUGGCCUGGACCAACACUCUCAACUUUGAGGAGUAUCUGCAGGAGUGGAGAGGUUUGGCCUGCAGUAACUCAUCCGAGCCAAGCAAAGAUUUCCAUUCAUAUCCACCCGGGUUAGAUCCACAUGAGUUUGCUGCUGUGGCUGAUGAAGACAGUUAGUUAGUGUUGGAGUGAGAGGAACAUCAGUUAACUUGAGCAUCAAAGCAGAUCAAACUGGCUGUAGCCUCAAACACCUGGAUACACCCAGAGAAUUGGCCUCUGCAGCAGCAUCGUACCAAAGCAUCUGAAAUGGCAAACCUG